GCAGAAUAGCUCAGUUGGUAGAGCAUGAGACUCCUAAUCUCAUGGUCAUGAAUUUGAGCCCCAUGUUGAGCG